AUUGAACGCUGGCGGCAUGCCUUACACAUGCAAGUCGAACGGCAGCACGGACUUCGGUCUGGUGGCGAGUGGCGAACGGGUGAGUAAUGUAUCGGAACGUACCUUUCAGUGGGGGAUAACGUAGCGAAAGUUACGCUAAUACCGCAUAUUCUGUGAGCAGGAAAGCAGGGGAUCGCAAGACCUUGCGCUGAUUGAGCGGCCGAUAUCAGAUUAGCUAGUUGGUGAGGUAAAGGCUCACCAAGGCGACGAUCUGUAGCGGGUCUGAGAGGAUGAUCCGCCACACUGGAACUGAGACACGGUCCAGACUCCUACGGGAGGCAGCAGUGGGGAAUUUUGGACAAUGGGGGCAACCCUGAUCCAGCCAUGCCGCGUGAGUGAAGAAGG
rnacentral:rRNA from 1 species